UACGGAGGGGGCGAACGUUGUUCGGAUUUACUGGGCGUAAAGGGUGCGUAGGCGGUUCGGUUAGUCUGGUGUGAAAAUCCGUCGCUUAACGACGGAAAUGCAUCGGAAACUGCCGAGCUCGAGUAUGGGAGAGGCAGGUGGAAUUCCCGGUGUAGCGGUGGAAUGCGUAGAGAUCGGGAAGAACACUCGUGGCGAAGGCGGCCUGCUGGCCCAUUACUGACGCUGAGGCACGAAAGCCAGGGGAG
rnacentral:rRNA from 1 species